UGCUUCCCUGGAGACUUUCUCCUGGACCACAACCACAUAUGCAUUUCAAAGGCUUCUAAUCUCAACCGAGCACCAGAAGAAGAGGCUAACAGCAAGCUGGGGAGUAGAAUGAUGCUGAAAUUUAACCCGCUGCUCCAGAGCCCAAGCCUGAAUGAGCCUCCCUAGCUGUUGGUCCAGAUGUGUAUUGCAAAGAGGUUGGUAACCAGAGAACUCUGUUAUCUCGGUGUGGAGAUGCCCAGUGUUGCUCACUACAGCAUGCAGUGACACUAGCAUCUGCCCGUUGCUUCAGCUAGCUGGAGUGGAUGAAGUGUAACCACUGGACUUCUCUGACUGACCUGGUGUGAUGGGUUGCAUAAGACUGAGAUGGGAAAAAUUGCUUCCAAAAGCUUGGUACCUUUGUACUGUGUUCUGCUGCAUCCCUACUGGUUGCAACAGCCUCUUGCUUGUAGUAUUUGUCUUUUCACGUGAAAUGGGAAUCCUUCUGUUUAGCCCAGAACUAGGCUUGAUCUUCAGCAGAGAGAACUUUGUUAACCCUGCUUGAAUCCCCUCUGGAGCUAUUCUGCUGCAGAAAUCAGAAGAAAUGUUUUGCAGCUGUUAAAGGAUCGGUUAUAUAUGUGGCCAGGCAGCAUGCUCAGGCUGCUGGAGAAGAGCAAGGUGCUGCUUAAGGCAGAAGGAGAAGAGUCCCUGUGACUGGGAAAGGAGCAGUUGUGGGCAGAACAGCAUGGGGAUGGGCCCUGAUGAGUCUCUCAGACUACAAAGGAAUCUGGAAGGAUUUGAUAGCUGAGUCUUUUCUUGUCGCAAGAACAAAGGUACUGAAGUCAUGUCAUCUCCCGAAAGCCACCGGGAGCAGAGAUGGGCAGGGCGAGCAAGCCCAGGCUGGGGCUCUGCUGUGCGGCUGCUGGAAGUGGGGUCUCCAAGGAAAAAGGGGUUCUGCUGUGCUCCUGGAAAAAGAGGCUGCCAGCAGAGGGCCCCCAAAGAUGGAUAUGUAGAUCCUACAGAGGUCCUGAGAGAAGCUGCCUCCUGAUGCUUGUCAGAGCAUGCUGAGCCCCUUUUUCUGAAAGGAGAAACUGAGGCAGGGGGAGAAGAUGGUGAGUGUCAGAGCAGAAUGUGUCCUGUGAUGCAGAAGUGAAAUAUUCUCUUGCUCUUCGCAAGCAAUUGAUUUGGUUUCAUUUCCUCCUCGCAGACUCUUUUUCGAGGGCUUGGGGAAGCUUUUUGGUUUUCUCCUUUUGCACGACCAAAGGACACCGAGGUCCCACAGCAAGACAUUUAGAGCCUAAAUGUCCAAAAGCCAGUGGGGAUGUUUCAGGUGCUCAGCUCAUUGCCCCAGAACCGUCAGGGGAGAGAUGGAGACAGAGGUCACCAUGCAGCAGCCACCUCCUCCCGGCUAUAUCUGUGGGGCUGCAAGUAUGGGUGGUGGAGCAGGAGGAUCUGCUGACUUCCUCCAUCCUCAGCCAGGAUUUGGGGCUCCUCAGUACCUCACAGUGCCCUCAGUAAUGCCAGGAUGUGGCCCUUAGCCUGAUACCCAAAAUAUAGGCACUUAACCCUGCUGCAGCUUGGAUGCCUCCGUGUCCUGUGUUAACACCGACUUGCUUUUUGCUCUUAGAGGUGAAGGCGUCCCUGAACUACGUGUGUUUGUCUGUUCAUACGUCCCAAGCUUUCUAGACAGCUCCGAUCAAAAGCAGUUUAAUGCACUUCAGCCUUCGCGAGUGGAAAUUUCCUCCACCUACUUCCAGGUCCUCAGGGUUUCCAAAUGUCAAGUCGUCAACUGCAAAUGUUAUCUGAAAAUGCUUAGCAAGUUGCAGUCCGUUGGCAUCAGUCAGUCACCAAAGACAACCGGCUUGUUUUCUUGCUCUUCUCUUUAAUAUUCCCUCCCAGCAAGGCUCUGGAGACGUCAUUAGGAGCAGUGAGCUCCUCGGAGCCGGGCUAACAACCGCUGAGUAGGUUGUUUCUGCGUAAAUAAUUUGCUUCUUGGUUCCUCUCCGUGCCCUG
rnacentral:lncRNA from 1 species